ACUGGGCGUAAAGGGCACGCAGGCGGUGACUUAAGUGAGAUGUGAAAGCCCCGAGCUUAACUUGGGAAUUGCAUUUCAUACUGGGUCGCUAGAGUACUUUAGGGAGGGGUAGAAUUCCACGUGUAGCGGUGAAAUGCGUAGAGAUGUGGAGGAAUACCGAAGGCGAAGGCAGCCCCUUGGGAAUGUACUGACGCUCAUGUGCGAAAGCGUGGGGAGCAAACAGGAUUAGAUACCCUGGUAGUCCACGCUGUAAACGAUGUCGAUUUGGGGAUUGGGCUUUGAGCUUGGUGCCCGUAGCUAACGUGAUAAAUCGACCGCCUGGGGAGUACGGCCGCAAGGUUAAAACUCAAAUGAAUUGACGGGGGCCCGCACAAGCGGUGGAGCAUGUGGUUUAAUUCGAUGCAACGCGAAGAACCUUACCUACUCUUGACAUCCAUGGAAUCUUGUAGAGAUAUGAGAGUGCCUUCGGGAACCAUGAGACAGGUGCUGCAUGGCUGUCGUCAGCUCGUGUCGUGAG
rnacentral:rRNA from 1 species